GUGCUUGCUUUGGCAGUACAUAUACUAAAAUUGGAACGAUACGGAGAAGAUUAGCAUGGCCCCUGCGGAAGGAUGACAUGCCAAUUCAUGAAGCGUUCCUUAUUUUA